rnacentral:rRNA from 1 species
UUCCGGUUGAUCCUGCCGGACCUGACUGCUAUCGGAUUGAUACUAAGCCAUGCGAGUCAUUGUAGCAAUACAAGGCAGACGGCUCAGUAACGCGUAGUCAACCUACCUUAUGGACGGGGAUAACCUCGGGAAACUGAGAAUAAUACCCGAUAGAACAUGAUGCCUGGAAUGGUUUAUGUUUCAAAUAAUUUAUUGCCGUAAGAUGGGACUGCGGCCUAUCAGUUUGUUGGUGAGGUAAUGGCCCACCAAGACUAUUACAGGUACGGGCUCUGAGAGGAGUAGCCUGGAGAUGGGUACUGAGACACGGACCCAGGCCCUAUGGGGCGCAGCAGGCGAGAAAACUUUGCAAUGUGCGAAAGCACGACAAGGUUAAUCCGAGUGGUUUCUGCUAAAGGAACCUUUUGUCAGUCCUAGAAACACUAACGAAUAAGGGGUGGGCAAGUUCUGGUGUCAGCCGCCGCGGUAAAACCAGCACCUCAAGUGGUCAGGAUGAUUAUUGGGCCUAAAGCAUCCGUAGCCUGCUUUGUAAGUUUUCGGUUAAAUCCAUACGCUCAACGUAUGGGCUGCCGGGAAUACUGCAAAGCUAGGGAGUGGGAGAGGUAGACGGUACUCGGUAGGAAGGGGUAAAAUCCUUUGAUCUAUUGAUGACCACCUGUGGCGAAGGCGGUCUACCAGAACACGUCCGACGGUGAGGGAUGAAAGCUGGGGGAGCAAACCGGAUUAGAUACCCGGGUAGUCCCAGCUGUAAACUAUGCAAACUCGGUGAUGCAUUGGCUUGAUGCCAAUGCAGUGCCGCAGGGAAGCCGUUAAGUUUGCCGCCUGGGAAGUACGUACGCAAGUAUGAAACUUAAAGGAAUUGGCGGGGAGCACCACAAGGGGUGAAGCCUGCGGUUCAAUUGGAAUCAACGCCGGA